rnacentral:rRNA from 1 species
AUUGAACGCUGGCGGCAUGCUUUACACAUGCAAGUCGAACGGUAACAGGCCUUCGGGUGCUGACGAGUGGCGAACGGGUGAGUAAUGCAUCGGAACGUGCCCAGAGGUGGGGGAUAACGCAGCGAAAGCUGUGCUAAUACCGCAUGUGAUCUGAGGAUGAAAGCGGGGGACCAGGCAGCAAUGUUUGGCCUCGCGCCUUUGGAGCGGCCGAUGUCAGAUUAGGUAGUUGGUGGGGUAAAGGCCUACCAAGCCGUCGAUCUGUAGCUGGUCUGAGAGGACGACCAGCCACACUGGGACUGAGACACGGCCCAGACUCCUACGGGAGGCAGCAGUGGGGAAUUUUGGACAAUGGGCGCAAGCCUGAUCCAGCAAUGCCGCGUGCGGGAAGAAGGCCUUCGGGUUGUAAACCGCUUUUGUACGGAACGAAAAGGCUCUGGCUAAUACCUGGGGCUGAUGACGGUACCGUAAGAAUAAGCACCGGCUAACUACGUG